GACGAACGCUGGCGGCGUGCUUAACACAUGCAAGUCGAACGGAAAGGCCCUGCUUUUGUGGGGUGCUCGAGUGGCGAACGGGUGAGUAACACGUGAGUAACCUGCCCUUGACUUUGGGAUAACUUCAGGAAACUGGGGCUAAUACCGGAUAGGAGCUCCUGCUGCAUGGUGGGAGUUGGAAAGUUUCGGCGGUUGGGGAUGGACUCGCGGCUUAUCAGCUUAUUGGUGGGGGAGUGGCUUACCAAGGCUUUGACGGGUAGCCGGCCUGAGAGGGUGACCGGCCACCUUGGGACUGAGAUACGGCCCAGACUCCUACGGGAGGCAGCAGUGGGGAAUAUUGCACCAUGGGCGGAAGCCUGAUGCAGCAACGCCGCGUGCGGGAUGACGGCCUUCGGGUUGUAAACCGCUUUCGCCUGUGACGAAGCGUGAGUGACGGUAAUGGGUAAAGAAGCACCGGCUAACUACGUG
rnacentral:rRNA from 1 species